rnacentral:rRNA from 1 species
AUGUGGAGCCGUAGCGAAAGCGAGUCUGAAUAGGGCGUUGAGUAUUUGGUCGUAGACCCGAAACCAGGUGAUCUACCCAUGGUCAGGUUGAAGUUCAGGUAACACUGAAUGGAGGACCGAACCGACUUACGUUGAAAAGUGAGCGGAUGAACUGUGGGUAGCGGAGAAAUUCCAAUCGAACUUGGAGAUAGCUGGUUCUCUCCGAAAUAGCUUUAGGGCUAGCCUCAAGUGAUGAUUAUUGGAGGUAGAGCACUGUUUGGACGAGGGGCCCCUCUCGGGUUACCGAAUUCAGACAAACUCCGAAUGCCAAUUAAUUUAACUUGGGAGUCAGAACAUGGGUGAUAAGGUCCGUGUUCGAAAGGGAAACAGCCCAGACCACCAGCUAAGGUCCCAAAAUAUAUGUUAAGUGGAAAAGGAUGUGGCGUUGCCCAGACAACUAGGAUGUUGGCUUAGAAGCAGCCAUCAUUUAAAGAGUGCGUAAUAGCUCACUAGUCGAGUGACACUGCGCCGAAAAUGUACCGGGGCUAAACAUAUUACCGAAGCUGUGGAUUGUCCGUAGGACAAUGGUAGGAGAGCGUUCUAAGGGCGUUGAAGCAUGAUCGCAAGGACAUGUGGAGCGCUUAGAAGUGAGAAUGCCGGUGUGAGUAGCGAAAGACGGGGGAGAAUCCCGUCCACCGAUUGACUAAGGUUUCCAGAGGAAGGCUCGUCCGCUCUGGGUUAGUCGGGUCCUAAGCUGAGGCCGACAGGCGUAGGCGAUGGAUAACAGGUUGAUAUUCCUGUACCACCUAGCAUCGUUUUAAUCGAUGGGGGGACGCAGUAGGAUAGGCGAAGCGUACGAUUGGAUUGUACGUC